rnacentral:rRNA from 1 species
CCUACGGGAGGCAGCAGUGAGGAAUAUUGGUCAAUGGACGAGAGUCUGAACCAGCCAAGUAGCGUGAAGGAUGACUGCCCUAUGGGUUGUAAACUUCUUUUAUAUGGGAAUAAAAUGUUCCACGUGUGGGAUUUUGUAUGUAUCAUAUGAAUAAGGAUCGGCUAACUCCGUGCCAGCAGCCGCGGUAAUACGGAGGAGCCGAGCGUUAUCCGGAUUUAUUGGGUUUAAAGGGAGCGUAGGUGGAUUGUUAAGUCAGUUGUGAAAGUUUGCGGCUCAACCGUAAAAUUGCAGUUGAAACUGGCAGUCUUGAGUACAGUAGAGGUGGGCGGAAUUCGUGGUGUAGCGGUGAAAGGCUUAGAUAUCACGAGGAACUCCGAUUGCGAAGGCAGCUCACUGGACUGCAACUGACACUGAGGCUCGAAAGUGUGGGUAUCAAACAGGAUUAGAUACCCCGGUAGUC